rnacentral:rRNA from 1 species
GGAUGAACGCUGGCGGCGUGCCUAAUACAUGCAAGUCGAGCGAAUGGAUUAAGAGCUUGCUCUUAUGAAGUUAGCGGCGGACGGGUGAGUAACACGUGGGUAACCUGCCCAUAAGACUGGGAUAACUCCGGGAAACCGGGGCUAAUACCGGAUAACAUUUUGAACCGCAUGGUUCGAAAUUGAAAGGCGGCUUCGGCUGUCACUUAUGGAUGGACCCGCGUCGCAUUAGCUAGUUGGUGAGGUAACGGCUCACCAAGGCAACGAUGCGUAUCCGACCUGAGAGGGUGAUCGGCCACACUGGGACUGAGACACGGCCCAGACUCCUACAGGAGGCAGCAGUAGGGAAUCUUCCGCAAUGGACGAAAGUCUGACGGAGCAACGCCGCGUGAGUGAUGAAGGCUUUCGGGUCGUAAAACUCUGUUGUUAGGGAAGAACAAGUGCU